rnacentral:piRNA from 1 species
UGCAUUUAGAAAACCUGUCUGGGAUACCACA